GAUGAACGCUGGCGGCGUGCCUAAUACAUGCAAGUCGAGCGAACAGACGAGGAGCUUGCUCCUCUGACGUUAGCGGCGGACGGGUGAGUAACACGUGGAUAACCUACCUAUAAGACUGGGAUAACUUCGGGAAACCGGAGCUAACACCGGAUAAUAUAUUGAACCGCAUGGUUCAAUAGUGAAAGACGGUUUUGCUGUCACUUAUAGAUGGAUCCGCGCCGCAUUAGCUAGUUGGUAAGGUAACAGCUUACCAAGGCAACGAUGCGUAGCCGACCUGAGAGGGUGAUCGGCCACACUGGAACUGAGACACGGUCCAGACUCCUACGGGAGGCAGCAGUAGGGAAUCUUCCGCAAUGGGCGAAAGCCUGACGGAGCAACGCCGCGUGAGUGAUGAAGGUCUUCGGAUCGUAAAACUCUGUUAUUAGGGAAGAACAAAUGUGUAAGUAACUAUGCACGUCUUGACGGUACCUAAUCAGAAAGCCACGGCUAACUACGUG
rnacentral:rRNA from 1 species